GCAAUGUCAACUUCCGGUGUAAAUACGUAAUGAUUAAAAUAAGUAAACAUUUUUUUUACAAUUUAUUCGUAGCAGUUCUUUAUCAACCAGAUGCCAGGCGAAAUAAUUCAGCUUAAUGUUGGAGGGAAAAGAUUUUCUACUUCAAAAGAAACAUUGACAUGGAUUCCAGAAUCGUUUUUUACAAGUUUACUGAGUGGGAGGAUUUCAUCACUUAAAGAUGAGAAGGGGGCUGUUUUCAUUGACAGAGACCCGUCCUUGUUUUCUGUGAUCCUGAACUAUCUGAGAACCAAGGAAGUGGACUUGACAAAUGUGGACGUAGGCAGUCUUAAGCAUGAAGCUGAAUUCUAUGGAAUAAAGCCCCUUGUUCGAAGGUUGUGCCUUUGUGAAGAAUUAGAUGCUGCAUCUUGCGGUGAUGUUCUCUUCCAUGGCUACCUCGGACCUCCAUGUCCACCAGUGCCAGAUUUCAUGAGGAGCAGGUCACAGUCUGUGGUCAGUGUGGAUAAUACAGCCAGGACAAACAUACAACAGAGGCAUUCUGCAGCAGAAGCCCUUUCCAGCCCCUCAAGAAUGGAUGACACACAUGCACAUACCCGCCAGACGUCUGUCGAUUUAUCCGCCCUGGCUCGUGGAGGAUCUCAAUCAAGUAUCACGCGGACACCAUCCACGCAUAGCCUGUCCCGUCUAACACUGUCAGCUGAUGCCCGCUCAAUUUCUCGUCCUGUUCCAUAUGAGACUUUGAGUAGCCGGUUGGCAAACGCUACCCCCACACAUGGUUACCGGACCGACCCUCUGCGAGUAACAAUGAUCCGAGGCCACCACAACUGGCUAGCCGUUGCCUUCCCUCACUUUGUCUGCUGCUUUAGGAUGAAGGAUUCAACAGGCUGGCAUCUGCUGUGGACUAGUGAAUACCUUGAAACCCCAAUAGAGAGAAUUGCCAUUAACGCCAAGGUGAUGACGUCUAACCAGGAUAACUCAAACCGGAUGAUAGCGGCCUCGGCUGGAAGUAUUGUCAGGCUGUGGUCCAUCUAUGAUGAUGGCGAAUGCAGGGAAAUAGGGGUGUUCAACAUGCAUGUGUCCGUAGAUUCGCUGUUCUUUAUUGGAAGUCAGUUGGUGGCACUCAACAAAAUGGGCAAAGUUGGUGUGUGGCACUCAAUGACUCAUAACUGGCAGAUCCAGGAUGUUGUUCCUAUCACCAGCUAUGAUAAGGCUGGCUCAUUCCUCUUGCUUGGUUGUGAAAAUGGUUCAGUAUACUACAUUGACAUGCAAAAGUUUCCGUUACGUAUGAAGGACAAUGAUCUCUUGGUGACAGAGUUGUACCGUGACCCUGCCGGGGAUAAAGUCACGGCGCUCAGUGUGUAUCUUACGCCAAAAACCAGUCUUAGUGGUAACUGGAUAGAAAUAGCCUAUGGUACAAGUUCGGGCACAGUGCGGGUGAUUGUACAACACCCAGAGACCGUGGGGCACGGACCACAGUUGUUUCAGACCUUCACUGUACAUCGUAGUCCCGUCACUAAAGUCAUGUUGUCCGAGAAACACCUGGUUUCAGUGUGUUCGGAGUAUAACCAUGUACGUACAUGGAGCGUGACCAGGUUUCGUGGAAUGAUUUCUACCCAGCCCGGCUCCACCCCGCUGGCGUCUUUCAAAGUUAUCUCACUUGAGGAUUAUGACCCACAGAACAACUACAUGGCCGGGAAUGACUUCGGUCCAUUCGGGGAGCAGGACGACCAGCAAGUGUUUGUACAGAAGGUUGUCCCAGAAACAGACCAGCUUUUCAUUAGGCUGUCCUCAUCAGGGAAAAGAGUUUGUGUGAUUAAAUCUGUGGAUGGGACAACUAUCAGCGCUUUCCGUGUGCACGAGUGUGAGGGGUCAAGCAGAAUGGGAUCCCGGCCCCGCAGGUUCCUCUUCACGGGGCACACAAACGGGGGUAUACAGAUGUGGGAUCUCACUACGGCCCUGGACCUCAUGAGCCCAACUGAAGACGUCCAAGAACAGACACUGGGUGGCCCCACCCCCAAGGAGUUAGUUCGCCUUCUAGACCAGUGUGACAUCUGCCAAUCCCUGAACUCCACCCCCUGUAUAAGCCCCUCACCAUCACUCAUGGCUAGCUCCAUGCACAGACCCACCAUGGAGGGACAAGGAGCUACAGGUGCCCUUUCCACAUCAGAAGCAAAUGAGAGCGUGGAGGAAUUAGGUGCGGUUGGCGGGGCAACAAAGGCUCCCGUGCCACAGGUCACCUAUAGACUCUGAUGUUUGUGCAUGUGGCUGUGAACAGUUGUGUUUUCUGAGGGCUUUUGCUUGCAUAGUUAGCUAAAACCUAUUUGGAACAUGACUGGCGAGAAAGCAAGAACAACAGCUACUGGGUAUAACAAAUAUGAUAGACAAUAAAAUACAUCCAGCUCUCAAAAUGGAAAUGGAUUGAUCUCCGACUGAACAAGACUUGAGCAAUUCAAUUUCAGUCUUCCUAGGAUUAAGAAUUAAACAGAAGAAUUUGUACAUUUUGUUUCAAAAAAUAAUUGUUAUUUGUUGUACGAUAUUUAUGUCUUCAUUCUCUGCUUCUCAACGUCUAUGUUACGUACAUAUAUGUAUAUUGUCAGUUAGAAUACUUAAUGUACUUAAUUUAUAGUGAAGAGUUGUGAAUGAAUGCAGUCGAAACCUGUUGGCUCAAUAUCCCAGGGGCCGGCCAAAAUACUUUGAGCUUCGGGAAUAUCAAGCCAAGCGGGAAUGCUUUCAGAAAGUCAAACAAAAUCAGUCCUCUACAUCCAGUUCGAGCCAACGAGGAAAUCAAGCCAAGCGAUAUCGCACCAACAGGUUUUGACUGUAUUUCCAGAUUAUGAUUUAAAAAUCCAAUGUCAAUGUAUUCACACCAAAAUUAUUAAUGGCAAGAACAUUUCUGAAAACUGAUUGUUAAAAGCUGAUGUAUCAUGACUUGACAAGACAACUUGUUUGAAUACUUGGGUUACAAAGGCGAGGUGUUCUGUAAUUUACCGACAGAAGUACCUGUAACUGCUUUACUUAAGAAUGCUUUAACACAACAUGCCAUGGUUUAGUCAUAGUAAUAUAGCAUCACAGAGCGAAUUGCUGAUGCAACAGCUAUCCUCAGGAGAGCGAAUUGCUGAUGCAACAGCUAUCCUCAGGAGAGCGAAUCGCUGAUGCAACAGCUAUCCUCAGGAGAGCGAAUUGCUGAUGCAACAGCUAUCCUCAGGAGAGCGAAUCGCUGAUGCAACAGCUAUCCUCAGGAGAGCGAAUCGCUGAUGCAACAGCUAUCCUCAGCAGAGCGAAUUGCUGAUGCAACAGCUGUCCUCAGCAGAGCGAAUCGCUGAUGCAACAGCUAUCCUCAGCAGAGCGAAUUGCUGAUGCAACAGCUAUCCUCAGCAGAGCGAAUCGCUGAUGCAACAGCUAUCCUCAGCAGAGCGAAUUGCUGAUGCAACAGCUAUCCUCAGCAGAGCGAAUUGCUGAUGCAACAGCUAUCCUCAGCAGAGCGAAUUGCCGAUGUAACAGCUAUCCUCAGAUUAUCAAUAUAACUAAGGGAUGUAGCCGAAGGUUAAAAUAAUCAUAUUUCUUAUAGCUUGUUUUAAUUUCAUUAUGUUAUAAGCAUUACAUUUUAUUUGUAAUCUUUAUUCAUCAUAUACAGAGGUUGCGAAAACACUACAUAUAUAUGUAAUGUUGAGUCCAAAAGUUGUUUGGGAAACCUCUCUGUAUAAAAUGAGAUCUCAUACUGUUUUCCUCUAAAUGAUUAUAUGUCAUAACUGCCAUGUCUGUAUUAACGAUCAAUCCCGUCUUUAUGUGUAUACAUUAUUUUUAUUCGUAAUAUCCUUUAUGAAAAGGUUGGGCAUUUCUAUUAUAGACGAUGUUAAAGGUAUCAUCGCUUGAUUUAGGAUUCAUACAUAAGAGCUAUUCAUUUGAAUAGACAUCGUGUAUUUGGUAGAGAUACCUCCAGUUGACCCAUGUUAAUUGUUGUACUUAAAUAUUAGCAUAGCUUCACACGCUUCAUGUACGGUGUGUUUUUGCUCAAUGUUAAAUGUGUCAUUGUUAUUAGCUUUGUUGUUAUUCAAUAUGCUACUAAAGUUUCUAUUUAUUUAUGCAUGUGCAAUAAGUAUUUUGAACAAUAAAAGAAACAGGAAG